UACGUAGGGUGCAAGCGUUAAUCGGAAUUACUGGGCGUAAAGCGUGCGCAGGCGGUUUUGUAAGUCUGACGUGAAAUCCCCGGGCUUAACCUGGGAAUUGCGUUGGAGACUGCAAGGCUGGAGUCUGGCAGAGGGGGGGUAGAAUUCCACGUGUAGCAGUGAAAUGCGUAGAGAUGUGGAGGAAUACCGAUGGCGAAGGCAGCCCCCUGGGUCAAUACUGACGCUCAUGCACGAAAGCGUGGGGAGCAAACAGG
rnacentral:rRNA from 1 species